GGGUUGUGAGGUUAAGCGACUAAGCGUACACGGUGGAUGCCCUGGCAGUCAGAGGCGAUGAAGGACCGGCUAAUCUGGGAAAAGCGGCGGCGAGGUGAUAUGAA
rnacentral:rRNA from 1 species